rnacentral:rRNA from 1 species
UAAUACGGAGGGUGCAAGCGUUAAUCGGAAUUACUGGGCGUAAAGCGUUCGUAGGCGGUUAUUUAAGUUAGAUGUGAAAGCCCCGGGCUUAACCUGGGAACUGCAUUUAAAACUGGGUAACUAGAGUUUAGGAGAGGGAAGUGGAAUUUCAGGUGUAGCAGUGAAAUGCGUAGAGAUCUGAAGGAACACCAGUGGCGAAGGCGACUUCCUGGACUAAAACUGACGCUGAGGAACGAAAGCGUGGGUAGCAAACGGGAUUAGAUACCCCGGUAGUCCACGCCGUAAACGAUGUCAACUAGCCGUUGGGCCUAUAUACAGGUUUAGUGGCGGAGCUAACGUAUUAAGUUGACCGCCUGGGGAGUACGGCCGCAAGGUUA